rnacentral:rRNA from 1 species
CGUAGGGGCUAGCGUUAUCCGGAUUUACUGGGCGUAAAGGGUGCGUAGGCGGACUUUUAAGUGAGAUGUGAAAUACCCGGGCUCAACUUGGGUGCUGCAUUUCAAACUGGAAGUCUAGAGUGCAGGAGAGGAGAAUGGAAUUCCUAGUGUAGCGGUGAAAUGCGUAGAGAUUAGGAGGAACACCAGUGGCGAAGGCGGCUUACUGGACUGUAACUGACGCUGAGUCACGAAAGCGUGGGUAGCAAACAGGAUUAGAUACCCUGGUAGU